GAAUAAACAUUUAAAAAAAUUUUUUUAAAGCACCUACUAUGUGUCGAUCGCGCAGACCUCUAUCACGUGUUACACACCUGACAUUCAGUGAAGCCCUAAUGGUUAAGGCCACUUUCCAGGCCGGGAGGAAAGCUGAGCAUCUUAAGACGAUCCCCACCCCAAGACCCCCACCAAGUGGGUGACCAGACCACUCUCACAGAGCCCCCCUGCUCCUCUCUUGCACAACUACUGAACCCAUCAACCAGCAGAAUUGGGGCCUCCUGGGAAAUACACACGGAUGCCGGGGCCAACAGAGACACGGGACCCAGUUCCCCCCCCUCUGCACCCACCCAACUCCCACUUUUUUCUAGCUCUUCUCUCUUCGUCAGUUUCGCUUUGCUUAGACUCCUUUAGUCUUGUCUCCCUAGAACCUCUCCUCAAGUUUGUUUGGGGUUUUUUUUGUUGUUGUUGUUGUUGUUUUUAUGACAGCUUCUUUGGAGAGCUUUUUUAAGAAGCGGUUUUAUUGAUGAUUGCACAAAGAAAUAAAUGAGAGAGAAGAGACAAAUCUCCCGUACAGAAGAACUCCAAAUAAUUUAUGUAGCUACUCUGCCCUCAAGGAAGUGGAGUUCUAACUCCCUAGUCCUUCAUGGCAGGCUACGCCAAGUGAGUUGCUUUCAAAGAGUGCCCUGUGCCAAGGGUUCCUCAGCCGGGUGACCAAGGUCCCCAGCAUCGGUGAUACGUCCUGGUGAUAGCCUGUGUCCUUGACACUAUGUUUUGAGACCGACACCUCACUGCUGUUGUAGUCUUCGUCCCCAAAAACCCACAGCCCUUGUCUCAGCAGGAGAAGAAUCUCGGACAAAUCGAAAUCAAGAGGCGUUCAGCAAAACACCUGACCCAGUGCUCUUCAAAAGUGUCCGGAUCAUCAAGGACAGGCCAAGUCUGAGAAACUGUGGCAGCUCAGGAGAGCGGAGGGGGGCACGACGGGGAAAUGUAAAGUGGUGUCCUAGGUGGGAUCCUGGCAACAGGAAAAGGGUCUUGGGGAAACCCAGUGAAGUUCAAAACAAGUCUGAAGUUUCGCUGCGAAUCAUGCAUCCACAUUGGUUCAUUCGUUGCCACAAAGGCACCGUGCUAGUGUGAGGUCCUAAAACAGAGAAGGGUGGAGGGUACGCAGGGACUCUUCACUCUGCAUUUGCAGCUUUUCUGUACAUCCUCGCCUUUUCUAAAACUUAAGGUCUAUUUAACAGGAAACAAAAGCAGCUUUGCGGAGAUCUGAUUCACAUAGCAGUCAACACACCCAUUUGCGGUGCACCUGCAACAGUUUGUAGCGUUUUUACAGAUCCCAGCAGCCAUCACCCGAGUCAAUUUCCAAACAUUUUCACCGCCGGAAAGAAACUCUGUAUCCUGUCACUAUCACCUCCCUGCCCAUCCCUCUACCACUACCUCUAGCCCCUGACCACCACCCACUGUCUGUCUCCAUAGGCCUCCCUACUCUGGACAUUUGCUAUCAACAGAAUGAUACAAUACGUGGUCUUUUGUGGCCUCUUGCAAUUAGCAUGGUGAUUUCGAGGUUCCUCCAUGUUGUGGUAGUGCUUUUUCCCUCUUUUUCAUGGCCGAACAAUAUUCCAGCAUAUGGAUAGAGCACAGUUUGGUGUAUCCAUUCAUCCGUUCAUGGGCACGCGAGUCAUUUCCACCUUUUUGGCGGCUAUGAAUGAUGCCGCCGUGAACAUCUGCGUGCAUGCUGUUGUGCGGACAUGCAUUUCACUUUCCUCGGGGAAAUAUCUGGGAGUGGAAUUGCCAGGGGACAGGCCAACCCCAGGUUUGAGAAACAGCUAGACUGCUUUCCAAACUGACUCCACUACUCUGUUCUGAUCCUCCCCCAGUGUCCAAACACACCAUUGCUGGGACCACGGGCUCACACGUAGGUAGCAUCUUGAAUCCUCACCGGAACCGGCAAAAGAGUGGGCAUGACUACCACCCCGUCUUCCAGAUGAGGAAACUGAGGCUCAGAGAGGUAGAGCCACCGGCCCAGGUCCCUCAGCCCGUGUCCCAGGAUUCCAAGCUAACUGCCUGGCCCAGAACCACAUCACCAGGAGGCUGAUGUUUUGGAGCCUGAGAGGAGAAACUCGGGGCGGGGCACCUCUAGCACCAAGGGGACCCUCCCCCCUGGCUGACAGGACGCCCCGUGGGAUCCUUCCGUAUCAGCUCAAGGACAGUGUCUUCCUUCUGCUCAGUGACUGCAUGAGAGCUCCCUUUACUCACCUAGUCCGUCCGUGUGCAUGGCAGGCGUUAUUUAUCUCCACCGGCAGGAGCCUGAAAGGGUGAGGGCCGGGAGUCACCGAGAUGGGGCACCAGGUACGGGCCUCAGGGGCCGCCGGGGACUGUGUCUCCCUCCCUUCCCCCCGCCCCCAAGGCCUUGUGCCUUCCCUUCUCCCCAUCUUCCUGGUCCCCUCCAGACCCACGCUUCAAGAGACGCCUGCACCCUCCCUGCUUCCGUUGUUCACCUUCCAGUCCUUGCUUUUAAAGACUCAUUAGGAAAUACCCAAAGCAUUUGGAACCUUCUAGAACAGCACCACCCAAAAGAACCUUCCACGAAAAUGGAAACGGCAUCUGUAUAUCUGCACCUGCCCAAUUCGGGAGCCACUGGCCACGUGCAGCUCUUGAACCCUCAAAGCGGGGACUGGCGUGGCUGAGGAGCCAAUGUUUUAAUUGUGUGUACUUUUCAAUAGUUUACGUUUAAAUGUAAGUAACCACACAGGACUAAUGGCUACCGCACGGAAGCCGGCUACCGAUUUUUUUUUUUUUUUUG